AUUGAACGCUGGCGGAAUGCUUUACACAUGCAAGUCGAACGGCAGCACGGACUUCGGUCUGGUGGCGAGUGGCGAACGGGUGAGUAAUGUAUCGGAACGUGCCCAGUCGUGGGGGAUAACGUAGUGAAAAUUACGCUAAUACCGCAUACGAUAUAUGGAUGAAAGCGGGGGAUCGCCAGACCCCGCGCGAUUGGAGCGGCCGAUAUCAGAUUAGGUAGUUGGCGGGGUAAAGGCCCACCAAGCCAACGAUCUGUAGCUGGUCUGAGAGGACGACCAGCCACACUGGAACUGAGACACGGUCCAGACUCCUACGGGAGGCAGCAGUGGGGAAUUUUGGACAAUGGGCGAAAGCCUGAUCCAGCCAUUCCGCGUGCAGGAUGAAGGCCCUCGGGUUGUAAACUGCUUUUGUACAGAACGAAAAGGUUUCUACUAAUACUAGGAGCUCAUGACGGUACUGCAAGAAUAAGCACCGGCUAACUACGUGCCAGCAGCCGCCGUAA
rnacentral:rRNA from 1 species